UACAGAGGUCUCAAGCGUUGUUCGGAUUCAUUGGGCGUAAAGGGUGCGUAGGCGGCGCGGUAAGUCGGGUGUGAAAUCUCGGAGCUUAACUCCGAAACUGCAUUCGAUACUGCCGUGCUUGAGGACUGGAGAGGAGACUGGAAUUACGGUGUAGCUGGUGAAAUGCGUAGAUAUCGUAAGGAAGACCAGUGGACGGAAGGCGGGUCUCUGGACAGUUCCUGACGCUGAGGCACGAAAGGUCAGGGGAGCAAAACGGGG
rnacentral:rRNA from 1 species